rnacentral:rRNA from 1 species
GACGAACGCUGGCGGCGUGCUUAACACAUGCAAGUCGAACGAAGUGGCGAACGGGUGAGUAACGCGUAAUCAACCUGCCCUUCUGUGGGGUACAACAUUUGGAAACGACUGCUAAUACCGCAUACUGAAUACGGGGAUUUCGUCUGAUUAGUUAGUUGGAGGGGUAACGGCCCACCAUGGCGAUGAUCAGUAGCCGGGCUGAGAGGAGGAACGGCCACAUUGGGACUGGGACACGGCCCAGACUCCUACGGGAGGCAGCAGUGGGGAAUCUUCCGCAAUGGAAGAAAGUCUGACGGAGCAGCGCCGCGUGAGUGAUGACGGCCUUCGGGUUGUAAAGCUCUGUUAAUCGGGACGCGGUACCGGAAUAGAAAGCCACGGCUAACUACGUGCCAGCCGCCGCGGUAAUAC